GCCUUCUUGGUGUAAUGGUCAGCACACUCGGCGCGUAUUCGAGAGGUCCGAGGUUCGAGUCCUAGGGAGGCA
rnacentral:tRNA from 1 species